rnacentral:rRNA from 1 species
AUUGAACGCUGGCGGCAGGCCUAACACAUGCAAGUCGAACGAGCGGCGGACGGGUGAGUAAUGUCUGGGGAAAUGCCCGAUGGAGGGGGAUAACUACUGGAAACGGUGGCUAAUACCGCAUACCAUCGGAUGUACCCAGAUGGGAUUAGCUAGUAGGUGGGGUAAUGGCUCACCUAGGCGACGAUCCAUAGCUGGUCUGAGAGGAUGAUCAGCCACACUGGAACGGAGACACGGCCCAGACUCCUCCGGGAGGCAGCAGUGGGGAAUAUUGCACAAUGGGCGCAAGCCUGAUGCAGCCAUGCCGCGUGUAUGAAGAAGGCCUUCGGGUUGUAAAGUACUUUCAGCGGGGAGGCGUUACCCGCAGAAGAAGCACCGGCUAACUCCGUGCCAGCAGCCGCGGUAAUUC